rnacentral:rRNA from 1 species
GACAGAGGGUGCAAACGUUGUUCGGAAUUACUGGGCGUAAAGCGCGUGUAGGCGGUCUGAAAAGUCGGGUGUGAAAGCCCUGGGCUCAACCCAGGAAGUGCACUCGAAACUGCCAGGCUAGAGUAUCGGAGAGGUUGGUGGAAUUCUCGGUGUAGAGGUGAAAUUCGUAGAUAUCGAGAGGAACACCGGUGGCGAAGGCGGCCAACUGGACGAAUACUGACGCUGAGACCCGAAAGCGUGGGGAGCAAACAGG